CGCCGCUCGCCUGCUCGCCGCUCGCUUGCUUGCUGCUCGCACUCGCCGCGGUGCUCGCCGCCACUGAUGCUACUGUCACGUCCACACUAACCUUCUUGGAGGAUUAUGCACAGGAUUCACAAUGGACAUUCCUCCAAGGAUUAAGCACGUGAGCGGUAGCUUUAACUUUAUGCUGGAGACCGACGGACAUAGUGCUGAAAGAUAUUCCCGAUAACUGCUCAGCGUUCGGCAAGGGAAAUAUUGCAAAGCAGAUAGUUGACGUGUGCAACAAAUACGCCUGUCCGUCGGUCCAAACGUUCCCACCGACAGAAGUGCAGGCCCUCGGCGACACCGUGCUGUCACCCGCGUACGCUUCCCGUGAGAAAGACUCCCGAGUGUGGACCUCUCUCGUGGAAUAUCACCCAGAUGUGCAGAAUGGUCCCCUACGGGCGUUGAAGAGUUGUAAGCGCGCAAAUUAGAGCGGGUUGAAAAUAUGAAAUAAAAUGUUUAUAAAAAAUCGAGUGAGAGAUUUUAUUUAUUUUAAUUAUCUUGAUAUCAAUAAGCUCAGAGUCCUGAUCUCAAUAUAUGUUUCGAAGAGCUUUGUGUUGCAAUCCUAUGGAAUAUGUAUACAUUUUCAUUGCCAAGCCAGUGUAAAAUCUGUGUGGUGAAGUCUAGCCCCGUACCUAAUGUUUAAACGAAACUAGACUAACACGUAUACAAAGAGAGCCAUGUAGCACAGUGGCACACACAAUUAAACGGUACUGUAAAGGGAUACGGUCUAUCUGCGGUGGGGAAUGUAUACGUUCGAGGUAGAUUUCUGAUAAUAUUUAAUUUUAUUUUUUCUUCAAACAGUAAUAACAU